rnacentral:rRNA from 1 species
AUUGAACGCUGGCGGCAGGCCUAACACAUGCAAGUCGAGCGGAGGAAGGGAGCUUGCUCCUGGAUUCAGCGGCGGACGGUUGAGUAAUGCCUAGGAAUCUGCCUGGUAGUGGGGGAUAACGUCCGGAAACGGGCGCUAAUACCGCAUACGUCCUGAGGGAGAAAGUGGGGGAUCUUCGGACCUCACGCUAUCAGAUGAGCCUAGGUCGGAUUAGCUAGUUGGUGGGGUAGAGGCCUACCAAGGCGACGAUCCGUAACUGGUCUGAGAGGAUGAUCAGUCACACUGGAACUGAGACACGGUCCAGACUCCUAAGGGAGGCAGCAGUGGGGAAUAUUGGACAAUGGGCGAAAGCCUGAUACAGCCAUGCCGCGUGUGUGAAGAAGGUCUUCGGAUUGUAAAGCACUUUAAGUUGGGAGGAAGGGAAGUAAGUUAAUACCUUGCUGUUUUGACGUUACCAACAGAAUAAGCACCGGCUAACUUCGUG